AUUGAUCAGGGUCAUGAAGAGAUGAUUGUCUGCAUAUGAUAUCGAGUGGAAUAUUUUGUUAAAGAAAUUCAUAAAUCAAAGAAGAACAUUGAUUUCUGUGCUUGGAUCAGUCAUCGGUAAAGGUAAAAAUCUCUGUAUAUGAUCACUAUUAUAUAUAUGCUAUUUUACUGUUGGUCUUGCAUUAUUGAUUUUGCAUCGUCGGAUUUGAGAUCGAUGAAUUUAUUAUAUCUGAGAUACUGUUAUUUGAUUUUGAGU
rnacentral:lncRNA from 1 species